GGAUCAUUACACAAUAUGAAAGCGGGCUGGCAUCCUUCGGGGUUACAGCCUUGCUGAAUUAUUCACCCGUGUCUUUUGCGUACUUCUUGUUUCCUUGGUGGGUUCGCCCACCAUAGGACAAACCAUAAACCUUUUUGUAAUUGCAAUCAGCGUCAGUAAAAAAAAUUAAUAAUUACAACUUUUAACAACGGAUCUCUUGGUUCUGGCAUCGAUGAAGAACGCAGCGAAAUGCGAUAAGUAGUGUGAAUUGCAGAAUUCAGUGAAUCAUCGAAUCUUUGAACGCACAUUGCGCCCUUUGGUAUUCCAAAGGGCAUGCCUGUUCGAGCGUCAUUUGUACCCUCAAGCUUUGCUUGGUGUUGGGCGUCUUGUCUCCAGUUCGCUGGAGACUCGCCUUAAAGUAAUUGGCAGCCGGCCUACUGGUUUCGGAGCGCAGCACAAGUCGCGCUCUCUUCCAGCCAAGGUCAGCAUCCACAAAGCCUUUUUUCAACUUUUGACCUCGGAUCAGGUAGGGAUACCCGCUGAACUUAAGCAUAUCAAUAAGCGGAGGAAAAGAAACCAACAGGGAUUGCCCUAGUAACGGCGAGUGAAGCGGCAACAGCUCAAAUUUGAAAUCUGGCUCUUUUAGAGUCCGAGUUGUAAUUUGCAGAGGGCGCUUUGGCUUUGGCAGCGGUCCAAGUUCCUUGGAACAGGACGUCACAGAGGGUGAGAAUCCCGUACGUGGUCGCUGGCUAUUGCCGUGUAAAGCCCCUUCGACGAGUCGAGUUGUUUGGGAAUGCAGCUCU
rnacentral:rRNA from 1 species